rnacentral:rRNA from 1 species
UACGUAGGGUGCAAGCGUUUGUCCGGAAUUAUUGGGCGUAAAGAGCUCGUAGGCGGUCUGUCGCGUCGGCUGUGAAAUCCCGAGGCUCAACCUCGGGUCUGCAGUCGAUACGGGCAAACUAGAGUAUUGCAGGGGAGACUGGAAUUCCUGGUGUAGCGGUGAAAUGCGCAGAUAUCAGGAGGAACACCGGUGGCGAAGGCGGGUCUCUGGGCCGAUACUGACGUGAGGAGCGAAAGCGUGGGGAGCAAACAGG